CCUAGGACCCACUGGCAGGUCCGAUCCCAUGGGCCUCUCAGUGUCCCAUGCCAAAGCAAGCUGUUACCCCCGAACUAUUGUCUGGCUUUACCCAGUGGGCUUAAGGCACUGAAGUGGGUUGCACAGUG
rnacentral:snoRNA from 1 species